rnacentral:rRNA from 1 species
UCGAAGAGAGUGGCGAACGGGUGAGUAACACGUAGGUGAUCUAUCUUGUGGUCUGGGAUAGCUUGUGGAAACAUAGGGUAAUACCGGAUGAGAGCUGUAGUUUGCGAACUAUAGGGGAAAGCCGCUUAGGCGGUGCCAUAAGCUGAGCUUGCGUCUCAUUAGUUAGUUGGUAGGGUAAUGGCCUACCAAGGCGACGAUGAGUAGCCGGCCUGAGAGGGUGAUCGGCCACACUGGGACUGAGACACGGCCCAGACUCCUACGGGAGGCAGCAGCUAAGAAUCUUCCGCAAUGGGGGGAACCCUGACGGAGCGACGCCGCGUGGACGAAGAAGGCCGGAAGGUUGUAAAGUCCUUUUCCUGGGGGAGAAUAACGGUCGGAGGGAAUGCCGGCCAGAUGACGUGAACCAGGGAAUAAGCCCCGGCUAAUUACGUGCCAGCAGCCGCGGUAACACGUAAGGGGCGAGCGUUGUUCGGAUUUAUUGGGCGUAAAGGGCGUGUAGGCGGUGAGAUAAGUCUGGUGUGAAAGAUCCCGGCUCAACCGGGAGAGCGCGCUGGAAACUGUUUUACUUGAGUGAUGGAGGGGGAGCUGGAAUUCCUGGUGUAGGGGUGAAAUCUGUAGAGAUCAGGAAGAACACCGGAGGCGAAGGCGAGCUCCUGGCCAUUUACUGACGCUGAGGCGCGAAAGCGUGGGGAGCGAACAGGAUUAGAUACCCUGGUAGUCCACGCUGUAAACGAUGUGCACUGGUGUUUGGCCCG